rnacentral:snoRNA from 21 species
AGCCUGCAACUACUAAUAGCUUCGUGGUCGCUUCUUCCAAAGCGGCAGGAGUGUCUUGCGUUGCGUUUUGCGACGGGGGCAUAUCUGCGGAGUUACAUUUGUUGCUAGAAUAAGCGUGAAUCAUAGUACACCGAGGGUCCACAUCUUCGUGUUGCUGUUCGCAGCAAUAUUCGGAUAACCCUCUCGGUGUCUCCAUUGAGCACAAACAUUUU